CGCCUAACCUACAAAUUCCAAAGGAUCGCUCUUCUCCCAUUUUGGUUUCUAAAAAAUAAGCGAUCAUGCCGGUUCCUCUUCCAAAUUUUGCUUCUCAAUACAAACAGUAGAAUUCCAUCUGUGAACACAAACAACGACUCUGUUGGUUCCUCUUCCAAAUGGGUUUCUCAAUGCAAACUUAAAUUCUAAUUUCUCUUCUCCCAAUUUCUUCAAUUUUCUAGGGAAGAGUAGUUUGAUGCAUCAUUUUUUCAACACCACUUUUAGAGAUAUAGACGCUUUUAGGGGCAGAUCUCAAACGACUAAGUAUUUGGAUGGCUAAGCGUACUGGAAUUGAGCCGUGUACUAUUGCUAUGGAUUUAGAGGAUACUGAUGGAAGGGAGAGGGGUGAGAAUUUGGAUUGAUUACUUCUCAGGCAGCAGCAAGAAUGCUCUAAUGAAUGGAGAAGUCGGAGUUGUUGUUUCUUACUCUUGGUUAUGAUGAAACUCAUAUUACAUAGGGAAUUGAAUAGGGUUAAGGUUUCUUACUCUUAAUUAUGAAAAAAAUUUCACGUGAGAUGA